rnacentral:rRNA from 1 species
AACGAACGCUGGCGGCGUGCUUAACACAUGCAAGUCGAACGGACCGGCCCUGCUUAUGUGGGGUGCUCGGGUUGCGAACGGGUGAGUAACCCGUCUGUACCCUGCCCUUGACUUUGGGAUAACUUCAUGAAACUGGGGCUCAUACCGGGUAGGAGCUCCCGCUGAAUGGUGGGGGUUCGAUAGUUUCGGUGGUUGGGGAUGGAAUCGCGUCUCAUCAGCUUGUUGGUGGGGUAGUGUCUAAGCAAGGCCUUGAACGGUAGCCGGCCUGAGAGGAUGACAUGCCACAUUGGGUUUGAGAUACGGCACAGACUCCAACGGGAGGCAGCAGUGGGGAAUAUUGCACUAGGGGCGGAAGCCUAAUGCAGCAACGCCACGUGCGGGAUGACGGCCAGCGGGUUGUAUUCCGCAGCCGCCUGUGUCGAAGCGUUAGUGACGGUAAUGAGUGAAGAAGCACCGGCUAACUUCGUG